rnacentral:rRNA from 1 species
GAUGAACGCUGGCGGCGUGCUUAACACAUGCAAGUCGAACGGGGAUUACUUUAUUGAAACUUCGGUCGAUUUAAUUUAAUUCUAGUGGCGGACGGGUGAGUAACGCGUGGGUAACCUGCCUUAUACAGGGGGAUAACAGUCAGAAAUGACUGCUAAUACCGCAUAAGCGCACAGAGCUGCAUGGCUCAGUGCGAAAAACUCCGGUGGUAUAAGAUGGACCCGCGUUGGAUUAGCUAGUUGGUGAGGUAACGGCCCACCAAGGCGACGAUCCAUAGCCGGCCUGAGAGGGUGAACGGCCACAUUGGGACUGAGACACGGCCCAGACUCCUACGGGAGGCAGCAGUGGGGAAUAUUGCACAAUGGGGGAAACCCUGAUGCAGCGACGCCGCGUGAAGGAAGAAGUAUCUCGGUAUGUAAACUUCUAUCAGCAGGGAAGAAUUAGGACGGUACCUGACUAAGAAGCCCCGGCUAACUACGUGCCAGCCGCCGCCGUAAAAC